CCAGUAUGAUGACCGAAGUUAAGCAAUGUCACGCUUGGUCAGUACCUAGAUGGGUGACCGCUUGGGAAUACCAAGUGCUGUAA